rnacentral:rRNA from 1 species
AAUGAACGCUGGCGGCAGGCCUAACACAUGCAAGUCGAACGGAUCCUUCGGGAUUAGUGGCGGACGGGUGAGUAACGCGUGGGAACAUACCCAAAGGUACGGAAUAGCCUCGGGAAACUGGGAGUAAUACCGUAUGUGCUCGAAAGAGGAAAGAUUUAUCGCCUUUGGAUUGGCCCGCGUUGGAUUAGGUAGUUGGUGGGGUAAUGGCCUACCAAGCCGACGAUCCAUAGCUGGUUUGAGAGGAUGAUCAGCCACACUGGGACUGAGACACGGCCCAGACCCCCCCGGGAGGCAGGAGUGGGGAAUCUUAGACAAUGGGGGAAACCCUGAUCUAGCCAUGCCGCGUGAUCGAUGAAGGCCUGAGGGUUGUAAAGAUCUUUCGGGGGGGAAGAUAAUGACUGUACCACAAGAAGAAGCCCCGGCUAACCCCGUGCCAGCCGCCGAAGUAA